rnacentral:rRNA from 1 species
CUACGGGCGGCUGCAGUGGGGAAUAUUGCACAAUGGGGGAAACCCUGAUGCAGCAACGCCGCGUGAAGGAAGAAGGCUCUUGGGUUGUAAACUUCUUUGAAUGGGGACGAAACAAAUGACGGUACCCAUAAAACAAGCCACGGCUAACUACGUGCCAGCAGCCGCGGUAAUACGUAGGUGGCAAGCGUUAUCCGGAAUUACUGGGUGUAAAGGGCGUGUAGGCGGGAGAGCAAGUCAGAUGUGAAAUGCCAAGGCUUAACCAUGGAACUGCAUCUGAAACUGUUUUUCUUGAGUACUGGAGAGGAAAGUGGAAUUCCUAGUGUAGCGGUGAAAUGCGUAGAGAUUAGGAGGAACACCAGUGGCGAAGGCGGCUUUCUGGACAGUAACUGACGCUGAGGCGCGAAAGCGUGGGGAGCAAACAGGAUUAGAUACCCCAGUAGUC